UACGUAGGGUGCUAGCGUUGUCCGGAUUUAUUGGGCGUAAAGGGCUCGUAGGCGGCGUGUCGCGUCGGGAGUGAAAGCCCGCUGCUUAACUGGGGGCGUGCGGGCGAUACGGGCAGACUGGAGUACUGCAGGGGAGACUGGAAUUCCUGGUGUAGCAGUGAAAUGCGUAGAUAUCAGGAGGAACACCGAUGGCGAAGGCAGGUCUCUGGGCUGACACUGACGCUCAUGCACGAAAGCGUGGGGAGCAAACAGG
rnacentral:rRNA from 1 species